rnacentral:tmRNA from 1 species
GGGGCUGUAAGGUUUCUACAUGUUAAUACAUAGUUUUAAGCAUCCAACAAGUGAUUGAAUUAAUCACUAAAAUAUAAACGCAAAGAAUAAUAUUAUUCCUCUGUCUCAAAGUUUAGCAGUCUGCUAAAUAUUAAUCUUUAGAUUCUGUUCUGAGUUAUACGUAUGGUAUACCAGAUGAUUUGAACAUUAUUAUUGCACUACAUCUCGUUACAACUGAUAAAUUUGUACGAAAUAAGAGUAAAGUUUAUAAUAUAAAACAUCAUAUAAGCCUUGUUUUCAUAGUAUUUUUUAUACAAUAUUGUGCUAGUUUUAAAACACCUGAUUAACAUGGACGUGGGUUCAAAUCCCACCAGCUCCAC